rnacentral:lncRNA from 1 species
GAGUGUUCAAAAAUCAGAAAGCAAGCAAUUAAAUGGCUAUCAAUAACGGUGGCACUUCAAAAUGAUCCUAGGAAUAGUUCUACUGUAGAUUGGACCAAUCACAAUGAUUAACAACCAGCAAAUUGAUCAAAAUAGCAGUGCUCUAAAAAUUUCACUAAUUGUUUGUGAUAAUGCUUCAAAGACAGUAAAAUUGGAUGCAGAGUUUGGUAAAUUGGUCUCGGCAAUUUUCAUUUUACGGGAUGCAUUGGUUCUUUUAGCUUUUUAAUUUGCUUUUCUUAUUGUUGAAACAAUCUGGAAUGCUUUUUACUAGAACCAAGCUUUUACUACAUCCACAAUUAUUGACCAAUCACCAAAUUCACUACAGCACUGAAUUUUUACUACACUGCUACGGUUUUGGACUUCAAAAUGCAACAAGUCACAUAUGGAAUUUGCACAGAACAACAAUUGAUCAAUUAAACAAUUUCCAGCAUGUUUGAAUGACUAAACCAAACGUGUUUGACUGUAAUUGCAACUGAAAUUCGAUGUAUAUCAAAAUUGGACUAUAGCAGUUCUAUGACAACAAUUGGAAAUCAGAUUUGGCUAAAAUUUGGAGGAACUGAUAUAUGCAAACUUUGCAGAACUGACCAGAUGCACUUUAUAUUGGUUCAAACAUGUUUAUUAGCUGAAAUCAAACUUCUUUGAUCAGGUUUAUGAACUAAAAUCAGUGCAGCAUAGAUUUUGGCUAGUUCAGCUCUGAUGCAAGUCAAAACAAGCAACUAUAGUAUCCAAAUUUUAGAAACAAGUGUAAAUCUGACUUCGGACAUUGCAAAUGACUUAAAAACAGCACAUGAAAUUUGCUCAAAGUAGCAGAAACAUUGUUUGGAUGAUUGGCAAUGAUCUAGGUGCUCAAUCAAAAUAGAAAACAGAUUUUGACUCACAAAGCAAAGUACAGCUCGGUUAACUGCUAGUACAAUGGGAUUCUGACUUUGCACUAUCAAUUCAUGCUUAGACAAUGUUCAGUAUGGACUAACUUUCAUGUCAAAACAUUUACUUAUGUAAGAAAUCAAAUCACAGAACAAGCUAAGCAAUGGAACAGUGUUUUCAGAGGUUCAAAACAGAUGCAGUUUUGCACUGCGUGAAUCACUGGAUCUGCACAAAUUAUUACUCAAUCAUGCAACUGAGCUCAUCAUAUUGAUUGUCAUAGCUCUUGUGAUUGUGCAUAAAGUAUUUUCUCAUUAAGAUUUCCAGUUACAGCCAGCAGAUCACAUAGCAUCAGCCAGAAUUAAAGACAUACCAGAAAUUAACAUGACUUAUGACAAAACUGGAAUGAUGCUUAAAUAAUGAAAAUGACUCAAAAUCAGUAAGGAAAACCGAAUGAAAAUGAUCAAGACUCAAGCAAACAGAGCUAGCACCAAAGAAAACUCAAAAUAGAACCUAAAUCAACAGCAAAUUACUGGAACAAGAUGAAAACAGAUUCAAGACAUUGUAGAAGUGUGAUGACAGUAUGGAAUGAAGAAAGAUGACACUUAGCUCACUGCAAGAUCUGAGGUAGCUUGCAGAUCCGUGAGUUCAGAGGCAGAAUGAGGCAGUACGGUUGAAGCACUUCAAUGGAACAGUGCUCGGCAGAAGCAAGCCAGAUCUGGAUGCUCAGCAAUGUAAAGUUGUUGGAGGUUUUUGGAUGGUAGGCAACGGAAGUAGUGAAGCUAUGGUGAAGGGAGAUGGAUGUUAGCUUAGAAGAAUGAAUCACAACUCAGAAGGCUCCCAUGAUAUGGAAGAAAGUUGCAAUGGAAGAUAAGCUAGGAAGAUGACUCUUGGAGAGGAACUUGCUAAUCAUUUCAGCAGAGUUUCAACAAUAUGAUUCCAAAAGUGAGUUACAAGCUUUGCCAAUGAGAUUUUAUAGAUCAAUCUCAAGGCCAUGCAUGGGAAAUGCCUAGAUCCACAAUUUACGAAUCUUAGGCCAGCUCAUUACGCAUGUGCAAAAUGUGUAUGGCCUCUAGAAAGCCUUAUGAAACACAUGUGAAAAACUAUGCGCAUAUGCAGCAAAUACAAUCACUAAUGCCGCCCCUUCUAUGCUAUCCACACC